rnacentral:rRNA from 1 species
AUUGAACGCUGGCGGCAUGCCUUACACAUGCAAGUCGAACGGCAGCACGGGAGCAAUCCUGGUGGCGAGUGGCGAACGGGUGAGUAAUAUAUCGGAACGUGCCCAGUCGUGGGGAUAACGUAGCGAAAGCUACGCUAAUACCGCAUACGAUCUAUGGAUGAAAGCGGGGGAUCGCAAGACCUCGCGCGAUUGGAGCGGCCGAUAUCAGAUUAGGUAGUUGGUGAGGUAAAGGCUCACCAAGCCGACGAUCUGUAGCUGGUCUGAGAGGACGACCAGCCACACUGGGACUGAGACACGGCCCAGACUCCUACGGGAGGCAGCAGUGGGGAAUUUUGGACAAUGGGCGCAAGCCUGAUCCAGCAAUGCCGCGUGCAGGAUGAAGGCCUUCGGUUGUAACGU